UCACUUCAGCAGCACAUAUACUAAAAUUGGAGUGAUACAGAUGCUAGCAUGGCCCCUGCACAAGGAUGACAUGCAAAUUCGUUAAAUGUUCCAUAGUUAG
rnacentral:snRNA from 1 species